rnacentral:rRNA from 1 species
AUUGAACGCUGGCGGCAGGCUUAACACAUGCAAGUCGAACGCCCCGCAAGGGGAGUGGCAGACGGGUGAGUAACGCGUGGGAACGUGCCCUUCGCUUCGGAAUAUUCCCGGGAAACUGGGAGCAAUGCCGGAUACGCCGAAUUGGGAAAGAUUUAUCGGCGAAGGAUCGGCCCGCGUUAGAUUAGGUAGUUGGUGGGGUAAUGGCCUACCAAGCCUACGAUCUAUAGCUGGUCUGAGAGGAUGAUCAGCCGCACUGGGACUGAGACACGGCCCAGACUCCUACGGGAGGCAGCAGUGGGGAAUCUUGGACAAUGGGCGCAAGCCUGAUCCAGCCAUGCCGCGUGAGUGAAGAAGGCCUUAGGGUUGUAAAACUCUUUCGCCGGUGAAGAUAAUGACGGUAGCCGGAGAAGAAGCCCCGGCUAACUUCGUGCCAGCCGCCGCCGUAAUAC